rnacentral:rRNA from 1 species
CCUACGGGAGGCAGCAGUAGGGAAUAUUGGGCAAUGGAGGAAACUCUGACCCAGCCAUGCCGCGUGCAGGAUGACGGCCCUCUGGGUUGUAAACUGCUUUUAUACGGGAAGAAAAAAUGCUACGUGUAGCACAUUGACGGUACCGUAAGAAUAAGGAUCGGCUAACUCCGUGCCAGCAGCCGCGGUAAUACGGAGGAUCCAAGCGUUGUCCGGAUUUAUUGGGUUUAAAGGGUGCGUAGGCGGAUCUUUAAGUCAGUGGUGAAAGCCUGCAGCUCAACUGUAGAACAGCCAUUGAAACUGAAGAUCUUGAAUAUGGUUAAAGUAGGCGGAAUGUAUCAUGUAGCGGUGAAAUGCUUAGAUAUGAUACAGAACACCGAUAGCGAAGGCAGCUUGCUGAACCAUUAUUGACGCUGAGGCACGAAAGCGUGGGGAGCAAACAGGAUUAGAUACCCUGGUAGUCCACGCCCUAAACGUUGAUUACUCGUUGUUGGCGAUAUACUGUCAGCGACGUAACGACGUAAGUACGUUAAGUUAACUACCUACCGUACGGAACGGUACGACCGACGAGGUUAGUAAACGUUAAAGGUAAAGUUAGUACGGUCGUAGAGACGUACGACCGACGGACGACGACGGAGGGAGGGUUAGG